GGUUAAGCGACUAAGCGUACACGGUGGAUGCCCUGGCAGUCAGAGGCGAUGAAGGGCGUGCUAAUCUGCGAUAAGCGCCGGUAAGGUGAUAUGAACCGUUAUAACCGGCGAUACCCGAAUGGGGAAACCCAGUGUGAUUCGUCACACUAUCAUUACGUGAAUACAUAGCGUAAUGAAGCGAACCGGGGGAACUGAAACAUCUAAGUACCCCGAGGAAAAGAAAUCAACCGAGAUUCCCCCAGUAGCGGCGAGCGAACGGGGAGGAGCCCAGAGCCUGAAUCAGCAUGUGUGUUAGUGGAAGCGUCUGGAAAGGCGCGCGAUACAGGGUGACAGCCCCGUACACAAAAGCGCAUGUGUUGUGAGCUCGAUGAGUAGGGCGGGACACGUGGUAUCCUGUCUGAAUAUGGGGGGACCAUCCUCCAAGGCUAAAUACUCCUGACUGACCGAUAGUGAACCAGUACCGUGAGGGAAAGGCGAAAAGAACCCCGGCGAGGGGAGUGAAAAAGAACCUGAAACCGUGUACGUACAAGCAGUGGGAGCACCCUUUGGGGUGUGACUGCGUACCUUUUGUAUAAUGGGUCAGCGACUUAUAUUCUGUAGCAAGGUUAACCGAAUAGGGGAGCCGGAGGGAAACCGAGUCUUAAUUGGGCGUUAAGUUGCAGGGUAUAGACCCGAAACCCGGUGAUCUAGCCAUGGGCAGGUUGAAGGUUGGGUAACACUAACUGGAGGACCGAACCGACUAAUGUUGAAAAAUUAGCGGAUGACCUGUGGCUGGGGGUGAAAGGCCAAUCAAACCGGGAGAUAGCUGGUUCUCCCCGAAAGCUAUUUAGGUAGCGCCUCGUGAACUCAUCUCCGGGGGUAGAGCACUGUUUCGGCUAGGGGGCCAUCCCGGCUUACCAACCCGAUGCAAACUGCGAAUACCGGAGAAUGUUAUCACGGGAGACACACGGCGGGUGCUAACGUCCGUCGUGAAGAGGGAAACAACCCAGACCGCCAGCUAAGGUCCCAAAGUCAUGGUUAAGUGGGAAACGAUGUGGGAAGGCCCAGACAGCCAGGAUGUUGGCUUAGAAGCAGCCAUCAUUUAAAGAAAGCGUAAUAGCUCACUGGUCG
rnacentral:rRNA from 1 species